rnacentral:rRNA from 1 species
AUACGUAGGUGGCGAGCGUUGUCCGGAAUCAUUGGGCGUAAAGAGCGCGUAGGCGGCUUUUCAGGUCCGACGUGAAAUCUCGGGGCUCAACCCCGAACGUGCAUCGGAAACCGGAUUGCUAGAGUCUGGGAGAGGAGAGUGGAAUUCCUGGUGUAGCGGUGAAAUGCGCAGAUAUCAGGAGGAACACCAGUGGCGAAGGCGACUUUCUGGACUGACCCUGACGCUGAGGUGCGAAAGCGUGGGUAGC